UACGUAGGGGGCUAGCGUUGUCCGGAAUCAUUGGGCGUAAAGAGCGCGUAGGCGGCCAGAUAAGUCCGGUGUGAAAGUCACAGGCUCAACCUGUGAAUGCCGCUGGAAACUGUCUGGCUAGAGUCCGGGAGGGGCGAGUGGAAUUCCUGGUGUAGCGGUGAAAUGCGCAGAUAUCAGGAAGAACACCCGUGGCUAAGGCGGUUCUCUAGUACGGUACUGACGCUGAGACGCGAAAGCGUGGGGAGCGAACAGG
rnacentral:rRNA from 1 species